GAUAAAUGCUGGCGGCGUGCCUAAUACAUGCAAGUCGAGCGGAAAGGCUACUUCGGUAGUACUCGAGCGGCGGACGGCAGAGUAACGCGUAGGAAUGUACCCCAAACUGAGGGAUAAUCCGCCGAAAGGCGGACUAAUACCGCAUGUGAUCUUCGGAUUAAAGCUUCGGCGGUUUGGGAGCAGCCUGCGUAAGAUUAGCUAGUUGGUAAGGUAAUGGCUUACCAAGGCGACGAUCUUUAGCUGGUCUGAGAGGAUGAUCAGCCUGACUGGAACUGAGACACGGUCCAGACUCCUACGGGAGGCAGCAGUAGGGAAUUUUCCACAAUGGGCGAAAGCCUGAUGGAGCAACGCCGCGUGCAGGAUGAAGGCCUUCGGGUUGUAAAGCACUUUCAGCGGGGAGGAAGGCGUUAAGGUUAAUAACCUUGGCGAUUGACGUUACCCGCAGAAGAAGCACCGGCUAA
rnacentral:rRNA from 1 species